rnacentral:rRNA from 1 species
GACGAACGCUGGCGGCGUGCUUAACACAUGCAAGUCGAACGGAAAGGCCCCUUUGGGGGUACUCGAGUGGCGAACGGGUGAGUAACACGUGAGUAACCUGCCCUUGACUUCGGGAUAACUUCAGGAAACUGGGUCUAAUACCGGAUAGGAAUCCUUGCUGCAUGGUGGGGGUUGGAAAGCUUCGGCGGUUUUGGAUGGACUCGCGGCUUAUCAGCUUGUUGGUGGGGUAGUGGCUUACCAAGGCUUUGACGGGUAGCCGGCCUGAGAGGGCGACCGGCCACAUUGGGACUGAGAUACGGCCCAGACUCCUACGGGAGGCAGCAGUGGGGAAUAUUGCACAAUGGGCGGAAGCCUGAUGCAGCAACGCCGCGUGCGGGAUGACGGCCUUCGGGUUGUAAACCGCUUUCAGCAGGGGCGAAGCUUGUGGUGACGGUACCUGCAGAAGAAGCACCGGCUAACUACGUG